rnacentral:lncRNA from 1 species
GUCAAUGUUUGUGUGUGUGAUUUUUGUUUUAAUUGUUUUUGUUUUUAUUCUCAAAUGAAAGUACCCUGCCAGUAAUCAUUGGUGUUUUGGGAAGACAGCCGGAAGCAGUGCCGUCUCCGUACCUUGGAGUGAAUGGGCUUUAUGUCCAGGCAGCCAUCUGUGGAAGUGGGAGCCUGGAGCCAGAUCUUGAAGCUACCUGUGCAUGCUAGAGUCAUUUGUGGCUUGCCCCGGAGUUCCUUCUUCACCUCUCAUCCAGAUUUGGCUUUGUCUGCCCUUCUACUUUUGGAACAGCCACUUCCUCUAACCAGGCCCAUGUUGCUUCCACCGGGGAUGCUAGACCUGCAAUUGUUUGAAGGUGACACCACUGAAGUAACAAGAGAAAAUAUUAUUUUAAUCAUGGGCAGAGUUUCAACCAUUCAGUAAAGACACAGUGAACAUCAGCAAUGAGGGAAGCCCUAAACCAGGCACCUGAGUUAUAACACUGGACUAUGACAAGCGGAAACGCACCCAUCCCAUCUGAACAGCAUAUGGCCAGUUACCUGCCGUGACAUCCAGAGGGAAAGCCUGUAAACACACUUUCUCACUUAGGAACUGGUCAUCUACCACCCUGAAAGAUUUUUCAGGGGAUUUGUGAGUUAAUGUUUACCAACUGCUUUAAUAUUCUCGGAUUAAAAAUGGAACAUCAGAACGAAGAGGCUGUGCUGGAAUUUGGAGGCCAUUCAAAAAUCCAGCCCAGCAAGUCUAAUGGUUUGUUUUCAACAUUUAUUUAACGUCCUUCUGCUAUCAAGAAACCUGAGAGCCCUCUGAGGAAGUUUAUACUGAAGGAAAUGGAG